AUUGAACGCUGGCGGCAGGCCUAACACAUGCAAGUCGAGCGAGCGGCGGACGGGUGAGUAAUGUAUGGGGACUGCCCGAUAGAGGGGGAUAACUACUGGAAACGGUAGCUAUUACCCCAUACUCUCUGAUAACCCCUAUGGGAUUAGCUCGUAGGUGGGGUAAUGGCUCACCUAGGCGACGAUCCCUAGCUGGUCUGAGAGGAUGAUCAGCCACACUGGGACUGAGACACGGCCCAGACUCCUACGGAGGCAGCAGUGGGGAAUAUUGGACAAUGGGGGAAAGCCUGAUGCAGCCAUGCCGCGUGUAUGAAGAAGGCCCUCGGGUUGUAAAGUACUUUCAGCAGGGAGGCGUUACCGGCAGAAGAAGCACCGGCUAACUACGUGCCAGCAGCCGCGGUAAUUC
rnacentral:rRNA from 1 species